GGCCACGAGGCGGCCGCCAUGAUGGCGUAGCCGUGCCUCUGCCAGCGAGGGUGGUUUGGCGCUGUGCCGUGCACUCGCGCGUGUGUAAAGCACUCGUGUGGGGGCAGAUAAAGGAGGCGGGAAUAAGGCAUCAAAAGUAGCCGGGGCGCAGCAGGACGUGCUCUCCCUCCGUGUGAGAAAGGCGGGGUCGCACGGCGGGGCGCGCCUUCCCUCACAUUGCGGAGCUUGUCGCCGCCACGGCUGCCCCCACACGGCUCAGCGGGACUGCGGGGCAGUGAGAAAGGCUCGGCCGUGAAGGAGUUGGGGUGUGAAAAGGAGCGUGCCGAUCAAGUCGCUCUGCUUCGUUUUCUGACAGGAGGUGGAGCGCCUGCGGGUGGUCCCGUGGCUCGAGAAGGAGACGCCUUCAGGGAUUUUCAGAAAAGCUUUAAAAGAUUACUUUGGAGCUUCUUUUUGGUCGACAUUUCCAGAGGAAUUAAGGCUAAAAGCAGCUGCUGAGAUCAGAGCGUCACGUCUGCAUUAGGACCCUGAGACUCAUCCAAAUAAAUGCAACAAAGCCUGAGGGAAGCCAGAAAUACAGAAAUUUAGGAACUCUUACAAACUGCCCAAGAUUCACUUUUCCAAGCUGGCAAGUUCUCUGCAGAUCUGAAUUAGUAACUGUAAGAAAGCAAGUAUCUCACAACUCCCAAAACACUCACACAGGAACAAUAAACUUCCGAAUUAAAAGCAAGUACUAC
rnacentral:lncRNA from 7 species